AUUGAACGCUGGCGGCAUGCCUUACACAUGCAAGUCGAACGGCAGCACGGGAGCAAUCCUGGUGGCGAGUGGCGAACGGGUGAGUAGUAUAUCGGAACGUGCCCAGUCGUGGGGGAUAACGUAGCGAAAGCUACGCUAAUACCGCAUACGAUCUAUGGAUGAAAGCGGGGGAUCGCUAGACCUCGCGCGAUUGGAGCGGCCGAUAUCAGAUUAGGUAGUUGGUGGGGUAAAGGCUCACCAAGCCGACGAUCUGUAGCUGGUCUGAGAGGACGACCAGCCACACUGGGACGGAGACACGGCCCAGACUCCUACGGGAGGCAGCAGUGGGGAAUUUUGGACAAUGGGCGCAAGCCUGAUCCAGCAAUGCCGCGUGCAGGAUGAAGGCCUUCGGGCUGUAAACUGCUUUUGUACGGAGCGAAAAGGCUCUCUCUAAUACAGGGGGCUCAUGACGGUACCGUAAGAAUAAGCACCGGCUAACUACGUGCCAGCCGCCGCCGUAAGAC
rnacentral:rRNA from 1 species